UACGUAGGGGCGAGCGUUGUCCGGAAUAAUUGGGCGUAAAGGGCGCGUAGGCGACUCUGCAAGUCAGUAGUGGAAGUCCCAUUUUCAAGGUGGGGAGGGCUAUUGAAACUGCGGAGCUUGAGUGCAGGAGAGGUUAUCGGAAUUCCCGGUGUAGCGGUGAAAUGCGUAGAGAUCGGGAGGAACACCAGUGGCGAAGGCGGGUCUCUGGGCCACUACUGACGCUGAGAAGCGAAAGCAUGGGGAGCGAACAGGAUUAGAUACCCUGGUAGU
rnacentral:rRNA from 1 species